rnacentral:rRNA from 1 species
UACGUAGGGUGCGAGCGUUGUCCGGAAUUAUUGGGCGUAAAGAGCUCGUAGGCGGUCUGUCGCGUCGAUCGUGAAAACUUGGGGCUUAACCCUGAGCUUGCGGUCGAUACGGGCAUGACUGGAGUUCGGCAGGGGAGACUGGAAUUCCUGGUGUAGCGGUGAAAUGCGCAGAUAUCAGGAGGAACACCGGUGGCGAAGGCGGGUCUCUGGGCCGAUACUGACGCUGAGGCACGAAAGCGUGGGGAGCAAACAGG